rnacentral:rRNA from 1 species
GACGAACGCUGGCGGCGUGCUUAACACAUGCAAGUCGAACGGAAAGGCCCUGCUUUUGUGGGGUGCUCGAGUGGCGAACGGGUGAGUAACACGUGAGUAACCUGCCCUUGACUUUGGGAUAACUUCAGGAAACUGGGGCUAAUACCGGAUAGGAGCUCCUGCUGCAGGGUGGGGGUUGGAAAGUUUCGGCGGUUGGGGAUGGACUCGCGGCUUAUCAGCUUGUUGGUGGGGUAGUGGCUUACCAAGGCUUUGACGGGUAGCCGGCCUGAGAGGGUGACCGGCCACCUUGGGACUGAGAUGCGGCACAGACUCCUACGGGAGGCAGCAGUGGGGAAUAUUGCACAAUGGGCGGAGGCCUGAUGCAGCAACGCCGCGUGCGGGAUGACGGCCUUCGGGUUGUAAACCGCUUUCGCCUGUGACGAAGCGUGAGUGACGGUAAUGGGUAAAGAAGCACCGGCUAACUACGUG